AUUGAACGCUGGCGGCAGGCCUAACACAUGCAAGUAGAGCGAGCGGAGGACGGGUGAGUAAUGUCUGGGAAACUGCCUGAUGGAGGGGGAUAACUACUGGAAACGGUAGCUAAUACCGCAUACCAUCAGAUGGUCCAAGAUGGGAUUAGCUAGUAGGUGGGGUAACGGCUCACCUAGGCGACGAUCCCUAGCUGGUCUGAGAGGAUAACCAGCCACCAUGGAACGGCACCACGUGCCAUGCUCCUACGGUAGGUAGCAUUGGGGACUAGUGAACAAGGGGCGCAAGCCUGAUGCAGCCAUUCCGCGUGUUUGAAGAAGGCCUUCGGGUUGUAAAGCACUUUCAGCGGGGAUGCGUUACCCGCAGAAGAAGCACCGGUUAACUCCGUGCCAGCAGCCGCGGUAAUAC
rnacentral:rRNA from 1 species